GGACCAGGCUCCACGCGGGGGCCACAGGCAUCAAGUCUGGUGUGGAGGAUGACUUCUGUCAGUCCUCACGACUGCCCUGGCCUCUGGGACGUUUUGGUGAGGACACUGGGAAGACUUCCCACCAGGGGCAGCAUUGCCUAAAAUAGAGUGUGGUGCAUCAAGCCACAGGCAAGUGGUUCAGUUCUGGCUUCCAUGUGAUGUAAUGCCAC